GAUGAACGCUGGCGGCGUGCCUAAUACAUGCAAGUCGAGCGAACAGACGAGGAGCUUGCUCCUCUGACGUUAGCGGCGGACGGGUGAGUAACACGUGGAUAACCUACCUAUAAGACUGGGAUAACUUCGGGAAACCGGAGCUAAUACCGGAUAAUAUAUUGAACCGCAUGGUUCAAUAGUGAAAGACGGUUUUGCUGUCACUUAUAGAUGGAUCCGCGCCGCAUUAGCUAGUUGGUAAGGUAACGGCUUACCAAGGCAACGAUGCGUAGCCGACCUGAGAGGGUGAUCGGCCACACUGGAACUGAGACACGGUCCAGACUCCUACGGGAGGCAGCAGUAGGGAAUCUUCCGCAAUGGGCGAAAGCCUGACGGAGCAACGCCGCGUGAGUGAUGAAGGUCUUCGGAUCGUAAAACUCUGUUAUUAGGGAAGAACAAAUGUGUAAGUAACUAUGCACGUCUGGACGGUACCUAAUCAGAAAACCACGGCUAACUACGU
rnacentral:rRNA from 1 species